GACGAACGCUGGCGGCGUGCCUAAUACAUGCAAAUAGAACGCUGAAGGAGGAGCUUGCUUCUCUGGAUGAGUUGCGAACGGGUGAGUAACGCGUAGGUAACCUGCCUGGUAGCGGGGGAUAACUAUUGGAAACGAUAGCUAAUACCGCAUAAUAGUAGAUGUUGCAUGACAUUUGCUUAAAAGGUGCAAUUGCAUCACUACCAGAUGGACCUGCGUUGUAUUAGCUAGUUGGUGAGGUAACGGCUCACCAAGGCGACGAUACAUAGCCGACCUGAGAGGGUGAUCGGCCACACUGGGACUGAGACACGGCCCAGACUCCUACGGGAGGCAGCAGUAGGGAAUCUUUGGCAAUGGACGGAAGUCUGACCGAGCAACGCCGCGUGAGUGAAGAAGGUUUUCGGAUCGUAAAGCUCUGUUGUAAGAGAAGAACGAGUGUGAGAGUGGAAAGUUCACACUGUGACGGUAGCUUACCAGAAAGGGACGGCUAACUACGUG
rnacentral:rRNA from 1 species